rnacentral:lncRNA from 1 species
UUUCUUGCCACCGGAACCUUGGCCAACCCUUUGGACGGCCAAAUGACCUCCGUUUUGGCCCAAAUUUUGAGGAGGUGUUCUACUCGACGAGAGGAAUGAUUCUACGAUGGCCAAUCGUGAUUUUAAUGGUUGCAUUCUUGGAUCUGUGGUAGGAGAACCUAACCCUAAAACUUUAAUUAAAUGUGUUUUUCAUUGAAAAAAAUUUGUAAAUCUUAUCAUUAUGAGUUAAGUAGGUAAUGCUGAUGUUGUAAGAAUUUUUUUUUAUGAUUUGGAAUUUUUGUAAUUUUGGGAAUUUAUUUUUGGUUGAUAAAUAAUUGUUUUGGGUUGUUAAAAAUUAUGGGAAUCAUUGGAAAAUUCCGAAAUUGUGGUAUAAUUUCAAAUUUAUUGAUAUGUGAAUUUUUGAAAAUUUCUUGGAAUAUUUUCGGAAAUUUUAUUGUGGAAAAUGAAUUAUAUUGGAUUAUUGAGAUUGUUGGAAUUGUUGAAAUUGUUGGAAUUAUUGGGAAAUUUUGGCAUGAUUGUAAUUCCAAUUAUAUUGGUGAUACAUAUGAAUGAGAGAAAUUAACCUCAUGGCAUUCAUUUGCUGAUGGUUGUGUGAAGAAAUGAUAAAAAUUGUGGAAAGUGUAUGAAAUGGAAAAAAAAAAAAAAAAAUAGUGAUGAAAAGUAAAAGCUCAUGUGAGGCGAAUUAAGAAGGGAGAGAGAUCCCUAGGGUGAAAAACCCAAAAGUUUACCCUAGGAAGACUUCGAAUGGGGAGUGUAUUUGGGUGCAGACACGUAUCCUUCGGUGAAAGCCCGAGAAUGACGGUGCAUUGUAUGACUGUGUGUCACACGUUCAUAUGCAUUUCAUUUAAUUGUUGAAUAUUGUGAAAUUGUGUAUAAUUAUAGAGAUUAAUUUAUGUGGCUUGAUCAAUGUUGUUGAAAUGUUUCUUUUGUGUUCUUUGGAACUUAGUAAUCCCCAUUAACCCCUUGGGUGUUAGGCACCCUACUGAGCAAUGUGGAAUGCUCACCUUUUCCUUUUUACAUCUUUUUAGAUGCAAAUAUCACUUCUAAGAAUCCAUAGGUGGGGUAAGGAGGGCUUCAGGAUGCUCUUGGAGCGGCUUAGUGGAGUGUGUCGUAUUUAUUGUGUUUGUGGUAUUGGGACUUGUUUUAAUAAACAGUGAACUAUGGAUUUGUUGAUUCGUGCCCAAUUGGUGUCUCAGCUGAUUUGUGUUCAGCUGGUGCUCCUUGAUUGAGGGAGUAAUCAACAAAAUUUAUUUCCUAUAACACCAUACACUAGGGUAGCAAAGAAAAAGCUACUAUAGUAUAGUGGCUCUAGGGUCGUUCACUGGGAAUGAUUAACAAGCAAUCAAUGAUACCAAUUCCAAGUGAAUUGGUCUUGAUUCAUUUCAUGGUUAGCUUAAGAAGUAAAACACAAACUUUGAUUGGUAAAGGUUUAGACUUAAACUAACUAACAUAACAGAAGUUUGGAAUAAUUUAGGAAGAAAAGCAUUCCUUGGAGAGUUAGGUUCACUGGGGUGGUUCCUCAUGCAAAAGACAUAGCUCCGGUCAGAUGGUUCAUUUCCUCGCAUUAGAGAUUCAACUUAUAGUCAAUUCUCUAACCGGUGAUGUACAGAGACUCCUUCAAUUAGAUUUCACUUUAAUUCUCUCACUGAUGCAACUUGCAAUGGUUUAAGCCUCUCACUAAGCCUUAACCAUUCAAGGUGAUCUUUAACCUUGGAUAACCCGUCAAAAGCUCGCAAGAGAUAACUAAUGGAUGCCUCCUAGGAGUCCAAAAGCUUACCAAGUGUUGGCUAUUCUAAAAAAUCCUACCCUAAAGUCACCUACCAGAGGCUCGCAAGGGGUAAACUAGUGCAUUUCCAUGGUUGGAAAUCACUUGCCUUACCAAGUGUUGGCCCAGGUGACUCCAAGGUGUUUUAAGUUAACCAAAAACAUAGAAAUCACUAAAGGAUUUCACUUCCUCUUCAUUAAUAGCUAAAACCACAGAGCUUUGCAUUCUUGCACUUGGAACCUUCCCCGGCAACCUUAGCUCCAAGGAAUUAGUGGUUUAGUUACUCAUUCUCUAGGGAAAACUCCUCAGAGAGUUCAUAACUUAGUAAGAAAAUGAAAAUACAAAGUGAGAAGGUAAGGCAGUAGAAAGAAAAUAGACUUUACUUGCUUACCCAAACGUUUACAGAAGGAACUCCUCUCCGAGAACAGGCUCCCGAGAGGUAUAUAUAUCAACAUAAUAUAAAACUAAUUGUUACAAAGAUAUUUAGUCUUUUUACUAACUUAAAAACUAAGGAAUCAUGUAAUUGGUGGUUUACAAGGAGUAUUUUGGGAUUUAGACAACAAAAAUCUAAUGGAAAAUAUCUCCAAAUGUCGGUAGCAAACUUCGGGAGGCUUCAGGAAUCAUUUCGCAGGAGAAAAAUGGUGUUUGCGAAAUUUCGCAGACACCCAAGAGGGCUGCGAAAUUAUUUCGCAACACCAAGCUAUCUUCACAAGGCUGCGAAGUUAGCUUCCACCUUGAGGUUCCCAGCUCCCUUCUCGCGGCAUGGUUCGUGCAUCGUUAGAAGGAGAAACACCUUACUGUACAAAAAUGCUGCGAAAUCACUUCGCAACAAAAGGGUGAUUUCGCAACACUUUGCAAAAUGCUUCCUUCAGCUCGGAGUGAUUGGCUUGUAAUGGCUGUAACUUCCUCGUUUCAACUCCGAAUUGCACACCGUUUGAAGCAUUGGAUUGUUGACUUCCUGAGCUUUGAAAUGGUAUAUAGUAUGCAUCAUUUGGACUUCAGAAAGUGCUCCAAAAGUGGCUGCUACAACUGUCAUCAAGAAUAUGCUUUAUGGCAGAUUCUCUUUGCUUUUUCUCCUUGCAAUCUGGAUUCACUCUUGGCAAAUGAAUUCUAAGCUUUGCCCAAGAUUCCUCAUAGCUCUCCUCAGUCUUGACUUGCUUUGGUGAUCAAAAUACUAUCAAAAACACCAAAACUUACACAAAGUGAUCAAAAUUGCUUUAAAGGAUCCUUAACAUGCCAAUUGAGUUAAAAGGCCAAAACUACUACUCAAAAGUGUUUAAAAGGAUUAAUUAUAGGCUAUCAAAUAGCACUUUUUGAGUAGUAAUCACUCCCCCCAACCGACAUAUUGCUAGUCCCUUAGCAAUAUAGGAGAGAAAAAUGAAAAUAAAUAGCAAACUAAUCUAAAAUUUACAACAUCAUGCUGAUAGAAAAUAAUUCUCAAAUGGCAUGAUGAUCUAAUUCUCACAUGAAGCAUUAAAGAAAUACAAACCCAAAUCUCAACAAGAGUCAUAACACCUAUGCUAAACACUGUCAAUCAAGGGAGUGCAUUAUGCAAACUGAAGUUUUAAAACCAUUUCCACUUUCUAAGAACCAAACUUUAAUCUUCCACAAAAAUCUAUGUGUAUUGGUUCCUUAGCUUCCGAGAAUAAUAUGCUAAACUAGUCUCACCCCCCAACCUAUCUCUUUUCAACACUUUAGCAAACUGACCAAAAUCAAUAAGAAAAGAACACACCUUUUUUUUUUUUUUUUUUUUUUUUCAAGGUAACUUUAUGGGGUACUCUUUCUGACUUGUCCAUGUAAUGGGGGUCCAUCGAUGACUCCCAACCAAUUAAGGUUUAGGGCACCAAGUUUUAAGGAUCUUUCAACCACUAACUCCUCGGAUUUUUCCCCGGACUUUUAAGAAUGAAUUUCUAAUACCCAAGCAUCUACCAUAUGCUAGCUCUACCUAUUCACCCUUGUAACGAGCAUUGAGGUCGAUGACUCCCAACUAAUUAAGGCUUAGGGCACCAGGCUUAAAAGAUUUUCACCAUAUACCCCUCAGACCUUGCUUGGGUUUCAAGGCAAGCAAACAACUUUCUUUAUUUCAAAGGCUCAUUGGCCUUUUGCAGGGUGUUUCAAUUUUUAUCAAAUGAGGUCAAAUAUACCAAGUCCCAAAAUUAUCCUAAGUCAAGAGGGAAAUAGCUUUUCAUCUUAUAAUCGGAAUCUAAUGUGCACAGUGUGUGAAUAGCUUAAAGUGGAAGAACUCAAUUCAAUUUCAGUAGAAGUUUCAACAAUUGAACCACUUUAGUAAGCAUAAUCCAUACUCUAAGUCAAGUGAAAAACAACAGUUCAAUUUCUCUUGGUUUAAUUUGAAAUUUUUUCCUCAAAAUUCAUGGAGAAUAGAGUAACAAGAGUAAAAAGUAAAAACUAUAACUAAUUAACCAAUAUAAUUGCAAUACCAAAAAGAUUUAGAAUACUUCCUUCCUCAUACCCCCCAACCGAACUGAGCAUUGUCCUCAAUGUGAUUUGAGUGACUGUAAUAAAAGGGAGGAAGUGGUACCUCCUUGCUGAUAUCAAAUUCGAAUAUUGAUUGGGGAAAACCACAUGUUUCAAAAAGAAUAGAAUAUGUGAGAAAAGGAAAUAAUAAUAACUUAAUGCUAAUUUUUAACAAGAAAUAUUCAACUUGUAUUACUUUGAGUUCAUUUGAUUACAAUGCUAAGGACAAGUAACACAAGGAAUCCCAUAUAUAGUACCAAAAUACUGGGACUUCAUUUCAACUAAAAAAACAAACAUGCAUAAAAACAUAAACAACAAAUAUAUAUAAUGUCUGAUUAGUGGGGUGGUGGUGCUAGGCAGAAGGAUCUGCCUCCUCAGUAGGUGGAUCAGCUGGGGCUUCGGGCUCUGGAGGAUGAGACUCUGAAGGCUGAGAGUGUGGCUCUGGUGGAGUAUCAGUGGAGGGCUCUACAGCUUGUGGCAGAUCGAAAUGGACUUGGAGCUGCCUUAAGAUGGCAGCUUGUUGAGCCUGAGAGGCUAACAUCUGCUCUUGGCACGCUUUGAUGGUUGCCAUCUCCUGAGUAAGAUUGCUCUGAGAAGCUGUAAGAGUCUCCAAUGCACGGCACAAUUCUCGAUAUUCAGAUAUAGGAAUGGCCAUCCUCGGCUCAGCUGAUGUGGAUGGUUGAGAUGAAGCAGGUGCAGCUGGUGGAGCUCUAGGAAUGGCAGGAGUGGCAACUGUUAUAUCUUCAGGUCUAUGUCUUCGGGAUGCUCUCCUUGCAGCUGGCUGAGGCUGCCCAGGCUGAUCAACUUUGUAGGCCGUCAUGUUAUUCCAUUUAUCUAGGGUAAAUGGCUCACGGCAAAUUCGCUUUCUCUCUAGUUGAGGCUCAGAGGGGUAUCCCAGAUGCUCCAACAUUUGGCAAAGCAGCCUUGGGAAGAGGAGGGGAAUACAAUCUGCUCUUUGAAGCUUCUUCUUGUGCACCUUCUCUUCAAAAUAGAGAAGGGCUGCCAUGAUCAGAUGAUGAGGCCCAAAGAAAAAUCCUUCUGACAUCUUGUAAAGAGCUUCCAAGAGGACUCCCCUUCUUUGGGUCCAAUGCUGCAGGGGAUAUAUAUUAUGGCGCAAAAAGGCAUCAAUCAAAAACAUAACUGGAGGAAGCUCCCCCCUCAGCAGAUGUGAUCGAUUUGCAGCUCCUCUGGAAAGGGUGCUCACCAUCUCUAGCUCAGUAGGAUUUGCCCAAGCUCUAAAAUUAUCGAAUUGGGUUGGCUCAAAGGGAAUUUGCAGGGCUUCAGCAAUAUGUCGUGCUCCCAAUAUACCAUGUCUCCCAUCAAUAAUAAAAUGAAUCAAGGUUGGAUUCCUGACCUCUUUGGUUGUCAUGGAUUGGUAGAAAUCCGUGACUACCCGGGGAUAGAAAAAGUCUCUUGGAGCUAGAAGAUGCUCCAUAUGGUACCUCCUCAGCAGCUGGAAUGAUUGGGCAAGCUCCGACCUCACUCUGAAUGCUGCUAAGUCGAAGCAAAGCUCGGAAUGGAAUGCCCGAGUUCGACAAUCCAAAUUCCCCUCAAUUGGGGGCUGAGGUAGCAUUGGCCUCCGGAUUACUUCUUCCAGAGCUACUUCAGCUGCAAUUUGGGGCUCUGGAAGUGGCGCUUGAGGCUCCUGAGAUUUUUCUUGCGGCACCAGAGAUGGUACCGGCGACUGAACUGGCGAGGGAACUGGAGUUGCAAAUGGAGAAGGAUCUGGUGAGGAUACCGGAGAUUGAACCGGUGAUGGCUCUGGGGAUUGCUCAGGGGAUUGCUCAGUCAAAUCGAUGGGUUCUAAGCUCUCGACCCUUGGCUUCUUUUGUAAUGGUCGACCUCCGGACCUGGUUAAAUAUCGUCUUGUCGGCGGCUUUGGUGGCACGGGUUUCACCGGAGGAGGAUUUGGCCUUGAUGGCGAAGGCUCUGGAGCAGAACCUGGACUUGGCUCCUUUCGCAGACUCUUUUUGCGGUUCGAAGGAGAUGAAGACUUAGCCCCUCGUGUUCGUGCCAUUUUGGGCUAUCGAACUUUGGCCGGCGUUGCUGAUCGGAGAAGAUGAACGGAGGCUCGGACGGCGUAGCUUGGUGAAGAAGACGAACAGGCUGCGAGAAUGGUGCUCUGAUUUUUGAAACCCUUUUCGCAGCUCAAAUGAUCGGUAUAAAUAGGAAAAACGGAAGCCUAAGGGUCAGUUUAAGUUUCGCAACAAAACGCCAAUUUCGCAGCAAAAUGCCAUUUUCGCAGCAACUUCGCAGUGAGUUUCGCAGCUGCGAAAUCGAUGUUACUGUGCUGCGAAGUGGCACUCGUGUGCCAAAUUCACUUUCGCAAUUGCGAAAUACCCUGCGGAAUAGGACUUUUGGUGCGAAAUCACGCUUUUCCACUUCGCAAUGUGUUUCGUAGCUGCCAAAUGGAUGCCACUGUACUGCGAAGUGGCACUCGUGUGCCAAAUUCACUUUCGCAGCUGCGAAAUACCCUCGCAGAGACUUCUACAGUGUUGCGGAAUGGUUUGGCAACAAAAUGCUCAUUUCGCAGAAGUUUCCUUCACCCUGCGAAAUUUCGCAGAGCUCUGUUUUUCCUCUGUUUUUGCUCUGUUUCGGCUCCAAUUUCGACCCAAUUUUUUUUCUUUCAAUCUCCUUGAAAUUUCUUCCACCUGGGAUCAUUUAAAACAAUUAAAACACACCUAAAAACAUGAUUUAAGAUCAAAAACUAAGAUCAAAAGUAUGGAAACAACUUGAAAAUUUACAAAAUUUACAAAAAUUUUGGACUGUGGUAAAACCACGUCUAGCAAACCCUUUUUCACUUAGGCUUUUUGAGGCUCAAGGAGGUUGAUUGCCUCAUUUUCUGAUUUGAAUGGCUCCAUGAAUGGCUUGAGACGAUAUCCAUUGACUUUAAAGCUAUCCUUGCCAUUGGAAUUCAAUAAUUCCACCACUCCAUUGCCAUAUACUCGGUGAAUAAUGAACGGGCCAAUCCACCUCGACUUGAGCUUCCCAGGAAAGAUAUGGAGUCUUGUGUCAUACAUCAAAACUCUUUGCCCUUCUUGAAAUUCCUUGUUGGAGAUGAGUUGAUCAUGCCACUUCUUCAUCCUCUGUUUUGCAACUUUGGAAUUGAUAUAAGCAUUAUUUCUUAAUUCCUCCAUCUCAUUAAGGUCUAGAAAUCUCUUUUCUCCUGCCUUGAUCAAGUCCAUAUUCAUCUUCUUUAUUGCCCACCAAGCUUUGUAUUCAACUUCCACAGGGAGAUGACAUGCUUUGCCAUAGACAAGACGAUAGGGAGACAUCCCAAGAAUAGUCUUAUAAGCUGUUCUAUAUGCCCACAAUGAAUCAUGAAGCCUAAUAGACCAAUCUUUUCUGUUGGAAUUCACCACUUUCAUCAAAAUGUUCUUUAUUUCCCUGUUAGCUAGCUCAACUUGCCCGGAAGUCUGAGGAUGACAAGGUGUAGCCACCUUAUGCUUUACUCCAUACUUGGAUAACAGAGCUUCAAAAGGUUUGUUGCAAAAAUGAGCACCUCCAUCACUGAUUAUGGCUUUGGGCACCCCAAAUCUUGAGAAAAUGUUCUCUUUAAGAAACUUGAGAACCACCCUGUGAUCAUUUUGCUUACAGGGGAUUGCCUCAACCCAUUUAGAAACAUAAUCCACCCCCACCAAGAUGUAAGAAUUACCAAAAGACAUUGGGAAAGGUCCCAUGAAGUCAAUGCCCCAUACAUCAAAUAACUCAACUAUCAGAAUGGGGUUCAUAGGCAUUUGAUUUCUUUUUGUUAGCUUUCCAAGCCUUUGGCAUCUAUCACAAUUUCUACACAUGAUGUGGGCAUCUUUGAAAAGAGAUGGCCAAGUAAACCCUGAUUGCAAUACCUUCAUGGCUGUUUUCUGAGAGGCAAAGUGGCCUCCACAUGCAUUCUCAUGACAAUGAGAUAGAAUCCCUUGCUACUCAUCUUCAGGGACACACUUCCUAAUAAUCUGAUCUGCACAAUACUUAAAGAGAAAGGGCUCUUCCCAAUAAUAAGCAUGAAUUUUAGCAAAGAAGUGUUUCCUGUCCUGUGCAUUCCACUCACUUGGAAUUUCUCCAGUUACUAAAUAAUUAGCAAUAUGAGCAUACCAAGGAGUUUUCACUAGGAACAUGAGUGAUUCUUCAGGAAAAUCAUCAUUGAUAGGCAAGGGAUGGGAAUUAUGUGCUAUAACUAACCUUGACAAGUGGUCAGCUACUACAUUCUCCACUCCUUUCUUAUCUUUGAUUUGAAGAUCGAACUCUUGUAACAAAAGAAUCCAUCUAAUCAACCUUGCUUUUGCAUCUUGCUUUGUCAAUAAAUACUUCAAGGCUGAAUGGUCAGUAAAGACUAUAAUGAAAGACCCCACUAAAUAAGCUCAAAAUUUGUCCAAAGCAAAUACCACAGCUAACAAUUCUUUCUCUGUAGUUGCGUAGUUCCUUUGGGCUUCAUUUAGUGUUUUACUUGCAUAGUAAAUCACAUAGGGUUUUCCAUCUUCUCUUUGGCCAAGCACAGCUCCUAUAGCAAAGUCACUGGCAUCACACAUCAAUUCAAAAGGUAAUUGCCAGUUAGGGGCUCUCACUAUUAAAGUUGUUGUUAAAAAUUUCUUCAGUUGAUCAAAGCUAUUCUGACACCUUUCAUCCCAUAUAAACUUAGCAUCCUUAGCUAACAGCUCACAAAGAGGUUUUGAAAGACUUGAAAAACCUUUUAUAAACCUCCUAUAGAACCCUGCAUGGCCAAGGAACUGCCUUACUCCUUUUACAGUUGUUGGGGAUGAUAAUUUGGCAAUAAGCUCCACCUUUGCUUUAUCAACUUCAAUGCCUUUUUCAGAGAUGAUAUGGCCAAGGACAAUUCCUUGACGUACCAUAAAAUGGCAUUUCUCCCAGUUGAGCACCAGGUCUUUUUCAAUGCAUCUAUGAAGAACUACUUCCAAAUUAACCAAGCAUUCCUCAAAUGUACCUCCAUAUACGGUGAUGUCAUCCAUGAAAACCUCCAUAAUUCUCUCCACCAUAUCACUGAAAAUACUCAACAUACAUCUUUGAAAUGUAGCAGGUGCAUUCCAUAAACCAAAAGGCAUUCUUCUAUAAGCAUAUGUUCCAAAUGGACAUGUAAAAGUGGUCUUUUCCUGAUCUGCCAAAUCAAUUUCAAUAUGAAAAUACCCUGAAUACCCAUCCAAGAAACAAUAGAAUGGAUGUCCAGAGACUCUCUCCAGCACUUGAUCAAUAAAUGGCAAUGGAAAAUGAUCUUUCCUAGUGACAGCAUUUAGCUUUCUAUAAUCAAUACACACCCUCCAACCUGAUGUGAGGCGUGUAGUAAUUUCUUCCCCUUCUUCAUUUUGGAUCACUGUGAUCCCUGACUUCUUUGGUACCACUUGAGUAGGACUCACCCAAGGGCUAUCAGAAAUAGGGUAAAUGAUUCCUGCUUGAAGUAGCUUCAGCACUUCAGCUCGCACCACCUCUUGUAGAUGAGGAUUCAACCUUCUUUGAAAUUGUCGAAUUGGCUUUGCUUCCUCCUCCAUAUAUAUAUGAUGAGUACAAACUAAAGGACUAAUGCCUUUCAAAUCAGAUAUUUACCAUCCUAUUGCCUUCUUACACCUCCUGAGAACUUCCAUUAAACCAUCCUCUUGAUGACUGGUCAAAGAUGAAGAUAUCACAACAGGACAUUGAUUAUUUUCUUCAAGGUAUGUAUAUUUCAACUCGACAGGUAAAGGCUUCAGAUUGAGUUUUGGAAUUUCUUUUUCAACAGCUGCCUCCUCUUCUUCAUUGAACAAAGUAGAAUUUCUUCUAUCUUUCUCCAACUUUGUAGAGUAGCUAGCCCAAUAGGAGAUUCAGAAAAACCUUCCUCAAUAUCCACAAGACUUUCAUUCGACUUGUCUUGCAUAUGUUGAUUGCAGUGCUCCUCCACCAAAGUAUCAAUUAUACAUAGCUCUUCUGGACCUUCUUCUUCUUCCGGAGUGAUUUGCUUUUUAGACAUAUAGAAAAUAUUGAGAUCCAGUGUCAUGUUACCAAAAGUGAGUUGCAUAAGCCCAUUUCUACAAUUAAUGAUUGCAUUUGAAGUUGCAAGAAAUGGCCUUCCAAGGAUGAUAGGAACUAAAUUAGCUUCCUUUACAGUAGGAUCUGUAUCAAGAACAAUAAAAUCUACUGGAUAGUAGAAAUUAUCUACUUGAACCAAUACAUCCUCAAUUACCCCUCUUGGAAUUUUCACUGAUCUAUCUGCCAGAGAUAAAGUGAUUGUUGUUGGCUUCAACUCUCCAAGGCCCAAUUGCUUGUAGACGGAAUAUGGAAGCAAAUUCACACUUGCUCCCAAAUCUAACAAGGCUUUCUCCACUACCUUUCCUCCAAUCAUGAUUGAAAUGGUAGGACUUCCAGGGUCUUUGUACUUCAAAGGAGACUUACAUUGUAAGAUUGCACUUACUUGCUCAGUCAAGAAGGCUUUCUUGUUUACAGUCAACCCUCUCUUGAUAGUACACAAGUCCUUUAGGAAUUUUGCAUACGUUGGAACUUGUUUGAUCAUAUCCAGCAGUGGAAUAUUAACUUUCACUUGCCUCAAUACUUCAAGGAUUUCAGCUGCAUUUCUAAUCCCCUUUUUCCCAUGUAAUGCUUGAGGAAAAGGUGGAGAAGUUGAUUUCUUCAGCAUUUCUUCCUUCAUAAGCUCAUUCUCUGGAAUUACUUUCCUUGUUGAAUCAGAGUCCUUCUUUUCUUCACUGAUCUCACUCUCUUUAUCUUCCAUGGCCUUCCCUUUCUUUAUCUCUUCUUCUUUCUCAACAUGUGGCUUGGGUGUUGGCUGCUCAAUUUUCUUACCACUCCUUAGAGUGAUCAAGGCUUUAACAUCUUUCACCUGUGAUGAUUCUCCCUCUUGGCAUUCCACUUCAUGGACACCUUUGGGAUUUUGAUGAGGUUGAGAAGGAAAUCUUCCCUUUUCUUGCAGUGUAUUCAAAUUUGUAAGCCUUGAAAUUGAAUAUUGGAUGUUGUCAAACUUUUGGUUCAUAUCAUUUUGCAUUCCAUCCAUCCUUUUAUUCAACAUACUCUCCACUCUAUCAACUUUUUGAUCGACUCGAGCAUUGGUGGCUUCUUGCUUUUCAAUAAAAUCUCCCAUUACCUUGCUGAGAUUGGUUAUUGCUUGUUCAAUACUUGAAGUUUGCUGAGAUGGUGGAUCCGGCUGUUGAUACUGAGUUGCUCUAGCCUUCCAUGAGAAAUUUGGAUGAUUCCUCCAACUUGAAUUGUAGGUAUUUCCAUAAGGAGCAUUAUUAUUGGGCCUAAAUUGUCCAACAACAUUUGCUUGAUCUCUAUACAUUUCCCUUUCAGAUGAAAUUACAGGGCAUUCCUCCACCAAAUGUUCAAAUGAUUGACAAUUGGGACACAGCUUCACUUGCACUGGUGCUUCAGCAACAGCUUGCACUUCAUGUAUUCUUUUCAGCUCCAGCUCCUCCAAUCUUCUUGUCAUAGCUGCCAACUUUGCUUUCAUGUCAUCAUCUUCUUUUAAAUUAUACAUCCCAGCCUUUGCAUUGUAAGCAUUCAACUGAGACUUCAUCUUUCCCACUUCUCCUUUAGUUGGUUCAUCCCAUCCCCUUGAAACAUCAGCUACAUAGCUCAAGAAAUCCAUAGCUUCCUCUGGAUUUUUGCUCAUGAAAUCUCCUCCACACAUUGUCUCGAGGAGUUGCUUCAUUGAGGAGGACAUACCAUUAUAAAAAUAGCUCACCAAUAGCCAAGUAUCAAAGCCAUGGUGAGGACAAGCAUUUGUAGCUUCCAUGUAUCUUUCCCAACACUCAUAGAAUUUCUCAUUCUCUUUAGCUGAGAAAUUUGAAAUUUGCCUUUUCAAGCCAUUUGUUCUAUGAGUAGGAAAAAAUUUCUUGAGGAAUUCAGCUUGUAAAUCAGUCCAAGAGCGGAUACUCCUUGGCCUUAAAGAAUUAAGCCAAAUUUUGGCCUUAUCCUUUAAAGUAAAAGGAAAUAACUUAAGCCUCAUCAAAUCAAUUGAAGCUCCUCCCUCUUGGAAUGUAUUACAAACUUCUUCAAAUUCCUUGAUGUGUGCAUACGGAUUCUCACUUUCCAUCCCAUGGAAAGUUGGUAGAAGUGGAACAAGAUACGGUCUGAUCACUAGCUGCUCUGUAGGGGGCACUAUACAUGAUGGUGCACUCAUACGAGGUGGAUGCAUACGGUCCCUCAUUGAUCUGAAUUCAUUGAGAUUAUCUUGAUGACCUUGGUGACUAUGCUGAUCUUCAGGUGUAGCUUCCAUGAUAUUCAAGAUUACUUCCAAUUCUCCUCUCUGAGGUGUAUCACACUUAACAAGCCUUCCUCCACUGUCUCGUAUCCACUUGGGAUACACAACUAGUAUCUACCUACAACUUAAAUAAAAACAGAGGACAACAAGAGAAACAGGGCUACAACAGCAAAAUUAAACUAGACUAAAUUUUAAAAGAUAAACUUAGAUUGUAAAUAAACAAAGAAAGAAUGAAAAUUAGUAAAGUGAAAGAAACUUUACCAACUUGUGAUGAAAAUCACAAGUGCUCAACAAUGGUAUCACUACAAACUUGACACUCAUUCCCCGGCAACGACGCCAUUUAAUUCGUGCCCAAUUGGUGUCUCAGCUGAUUUGUGUUCAGCUGGUGCUCCUUGAUUGAGGGAGUAAUCAACAAAAUUUAUUUCCUAUAACACCAUACACUAGGGUAGCAAAGAAAAAGCUACUAUAGUAUAGUGGCUCUAGGGUCGUUCACUGGGAAUGAUUAACAAGCAAUCAAUGAUACCAAUUCCAAGUGAAUUGGUCUUAUUUCAUUUCAUGGUUAGCUUAAGAAGUAAAACACAAACUUUGAUUGGUAAAGGUUUAGACUUAAACUAACUAACAUAACAGAAGUUUGGAAUAAUUUAGGAAGAAAAGCAUUCCUUGGAGAGUUAGGUUCACUGGGGUGGUUCCUCAUGCAAAAGACAUAGCUCCGGUCAGAUGGUUCAUUUCCUCGCAUUAGAGAUUCAACUUAUAGUCAAUUCUCUAACCGGUGAUGUACAGAGACUCCUUCAAUUAGAUUUCACUUUAAUUCUCUCACUGAUGCAACUUGCAAUGGUUUAAGCCUCUCACUAAGCCUUAACCAUUCAAGGUGAUCUUUAACCUUGGAUAACCCGUCAAAAGCUCGCAAGAGAUAACUAAUGGAUGCAUCCUAGGAGUCCAAAAGCUUACCAAGUGUUGGCUAUUCUAGAAAAUCCUACCCUGAAGUCACCUACCAGAGGCUCGCAAGGGGUAAACUAGUGCAUUUCCAUGGUUGGAAAUCACUUGCCUUACCAAGUGUUGGCCCAGGUGACUUCAAGGUGUUUUAAGUUAACUAAAAACAUAUAAAUCACUAAAGGAUUUCACUUCCUCUUCAUUAAUAGCUAAAACCACAGAGCUUUGCAUUCUUGCACUUGGAACCUUCCCCGGCAACCUUAGCUCCAAGGAAUUAGUGGUUUAGUUACUCAUUCUCUGGGGAAAACUCCUCAGAGAGUUCAUAACUUAGUAAGAAAAUGAAAAUACAAAGUGAGAAGGUAAGGCAGUAGAAAGAAAAUAGACUUUACUUGCUUACCCAAACGUUUACAGAAGGAACUCCUCUCCGAGAACAGGCUCCCGAGAGGUAUAUAUAUCAACAUAAUAUAAAACUAAUUGUUACAAAGAUAUUUAGUCUUUUUACUAACUUAAAAACUAAGGAAUCAUGUAAUUGGUGGUUUACAAGGAGUAUUUUGGGAUUUAGACAACAAAAAUCUAAUGGAAAAUAUCUCCAAAUGUCGGUAGCAAACUUCGGGAGGCUUCAGGAAUCAUUUCGCAGGAGAAAAAUGGUGUCUGCGAAAUUUCGCAGACACCCAAGAGGGCUGCGAAAUUAUUUUGCAACACCAAGCUAUCUUCACAAGGCUGCGAAGUUGGCUUCCACCUUGAGGUUCCCAGCUCCCUUCUCGCGGCAUGGUUCGUGCAUCGUCAGAAGGAGAAACACCUUACUGUACAAAAAUGCUGCGAAAUCACUUCGCAACAAAAGGGUGAUUUCGCAACACUUUGCAAAAUGCUUCCUUCAGCUCGGAGUGAUUGGCUUGUAAUGGCUGCAACUUCCUCGUUUCAACUCCGAAUUGCACACCGUUUGAAGCAUUGGAUUGUUGACUUCCUGAGCUUUGAAAUGGUAUAUAGAAUGCAUCAUUUGGACUUCAGAAAGUGCUCCAAAAGUGGCUGCUACGACUGUCAUCAAGAAUAUGCUUUAUGGCAGAUUCUCUUUGCUUUUUCUCCUUGCAAUCUGGAUUCACUCUUGGCAAAUGAAUUCUAAGCUUUGCCCAAGAUUCCUCAUAGCUCUCCUCAGUCUUGACUUGCUUUGGUGAUCAAAAUACUAUCAAAAACACCAAAACUUACACAAAGUGAUCAAAAUUGCUUUAAAGGAUCCUUAACAUGCCAAUUGAGUUAAAAUGCCAAAACUACUACUCAAAAGUGUUUAAAAGGAUUAAUUAUAGGCUAUCAAAUAGCACUUUUUGAGUAGUAAUCAUUUGUAAUGAGACCCUAAUUGUAUUUAUUGUGUUUGUGGUAUUGGGACUUGUUUUAAUAAACUGUGAACUAUGGAUUUGUAAUGAGACCCUAAUUUGAUUAAGUUGUUUAACUAUGAACUUUUAUUUUUGGAUUGUAAUGAUAAUUAAUAUAUCUUGUUGCUUUUUAGUAGUGUUUGGGAUAUUGUUAGUUUGUGAGAACUCUAUUGUCAUGUAUGUGUAAAAAAAAAAAAAUUAAUUCAGGGUGUUUUAGUUUACUGCCAACGUGGAAUAGGAGGAACCCUUAGGGUCAAACCUUUGACCUAGGGUCAUGGACCAAAUUUUGGGUCGCCCGAAAUUUGGAGGUGAAUUAAGAAAGAAGAAAGAUCCCUAGGGUGACAGACCCAAAAGUUUACCCUAGGAAGACUCCUAAUGGGGAGUGUCUUUGGGUGCGGACGCGUAUCCUUCAGUGAAAGCUCGAGAAUGACAGUGCAUUGUAUGACUGUGUGUCACACAUUCAUAUGCAUUUCAUUUAAUUGUUGAAUAUUGUGGAAUUGCGUAUAAUUAUAGAGAUUAAUUUAUGUGGCUUGAUCAUUGUUGUUGAAAUGCUUCUUUUGUAUUCUUUGGAACUUAGUAAUCCCCAUUAACCUCUUGGGUGUUAGGCACCCUACUGAGCAAUGUGGAAUGCUCACCCUUUCCUUUUUACAUCUUUUUAGAUGCAGAUAUCACUCUUGAGAAUCCACAGGUGGGGUAGGAAGGACUUUAGGACGCCCCUAGAGCAGCCUAGUGGAGCGUGUCAUAUUUAUUGUGUUUGUGGUAUUAGGACUUGUUUUAAUAAACUGUGAACUAUGGAUUUGUAAUGAGACACUAAUUUGAUUAAGUUGUUUAACUAUGAACUUUUAUUUUUGGAUUGUGAUGAUAAUUAAUAUAUCUUAUUGUUUUUCAGUAGUGUUUGGGAUAUUGUUAGUUGGUGAGAACUCUAUUGUGAUGUAUGUGUAAAAAAAUAUAUAUACAUAUAUAUAUUAAUUCAAGGUGUUUUUGUUGAUUGCCAACGUGGAAAAGGAGGAACCCCUAGGGUCAAACCUUUGACCUAGGGUCAUGGGCCAAAUUUUGGGUCGCCCGAAAUUUGGAGGUGAAUUAAGAAAUGAGAGAGAUCCUUAGGGUGAAAGACCCAAAAGUUUAUCCCGGGAAGACUCCGAAUGGGGAGUGUAUUUGGGUGAGGACGAGUAUCCUUCGGUGAAAGCUUGAGAAUGACAGUGCAUUGUAUGACAAUGACUGUGUGUCACACAUUCAUAUGCAUUUCAUUUAAUUGUUGAAUAUUAUGGAAUUGUGUAUAAUUAUAUAGAUUAAUUUAUGUGGCUUGAUCAAUGUUGUUAAAAUGCUUCUUUUGUGUUCUUUGGAACUUAGUAAUCCCCAUUAACCCCUUGGGUGUUAGGCAUCCUACUGAGCAAUGUGGAAUGCUCACCUCUUCCUUUUUACAUCUUUUUAGAUGCAGAUAUCACUCUUGAGAAUCCACAGGUGGGGCAGGGAGGACUUCAAGAUGCCCCUGGAGCGACCUAGUGGAACGUGUUGUAUUUAUUGUGUUUGUGGUAUUGCCACUUGUUUUAAUAAACUGUGAACUAUGGAUUUGUAAUGAGACCCUAAUUUGAUUAAGUUGUUUAACUAUGAACUUUUAUUUUUGGUCUGUAAUGAUAAUUAAUAUAUCUUGUUGCUUUUGAGUAGUAUUUGGGAUAUUGUUAGUUGGUGAGAACUCUAUUGUGAUGUAUGUGUGAAAAAUAAAAAAAUAAAAAAAUAAAAAAUUCAGGGUGUUUU